AGUGUAGUGGUAUCACGUGACCUUGCCAUGGUCACAACCUGGGUUCAAAUCCCAG
rnacentral:tRNA from 1 species